GACAGAGGGUGUUAGCGUUGUUCGGAAUUACUGGGCGUAAAGCGCACGUAGGCGGCUUUGCAAGUUAGAGGUGAAAGCCCGGGGCUCAACUCCGGAAUUGCCUUUAAAACUGCAUCGCUAGAGUUGUGGAGAGGUAAGUGGAAUUCCGAGUGUAGAGGUGAAAUUCGUAGAUAUUCGGAAGAACACCAGUGGCGAAGGCGACUUACUGGACACAUACUGACGCUGAGGUGCGAAAGCGUGGGGAGCAAACAGG
rnacentral:rRNA from 1 species